UUCACACCUCCCACUAGGGAAUUACCCUCCAGGUUUAAAAUGUCAAUCCCCGUUUUCAUGUAAACAAUCAGAAACAGAACUUUCUGUCUUGGGAUUUGAGUUAAAUGUGUCAAGUAUGGACCAACACAUGUGUUGGCACAGCGCCAUGCGGUUCUGAUGUGUGUCAGCUGGCAACCCGCCGCACUCGAUCACUGGCAGGGAAUAAUGACACAUGUGACGGAAUCCGGGGACAUGGCAUAUUUCAAAAGGGGAUCACGGUGGGGGGGCAGAAGAACCCCUGGGCUUGACGCAAAUAUUGUCAGUCAAAGGCUCGCACUGCAGGCUGUUGGCACACGGCAUAAGCUCCGUUUUGGACAGCUAACAUUGACAAGAGGUGGAAGACACCUGAAAACCGGAGAAACCGGAUGCCCGACAAGGCCGGGCGAACCCUUCCUGGGAUUUGUAGAAUGUUGAGUGCUUCAUGUCGUAGUCCCUUCAUGAUUUAGCAGGCUUCUCGAGUUAUUGUUGCGGACUAAGAUUUCGCGAUGAUUUUCAAGAUAUUCCAAAGAAAUACGUUUUGUAUUUAACCGGA